rnacentral:rRNA from 1 species
AAUAUUUAUUUUUUUGAAUUUUUUUAUUAUUAAUUAAAAAAUUAUUUUAUUUAAAUAAAGUAUUAUUAUUUUUAGUAUUUAAAAAAUUAUUUUGAUUUAUUAAAGUAUAAUGUAUAAAAAUAGAAUUAAAGUUAAAUUAAAAGAAUAAAAAUUUAUUUUUGUACCUUUUGUAUCAGGGUUUAAUAAAAAUAUUUUAUAAUAAAUAUUUCUCGAAUAAUUAAGAUUUAAUUUUUUAUGAUUUUAAUUGUAAAAAAAAUUAAUUUAAUAAAAAAUUGGUAAUGAAAAGUUAAUCGUUUAAUUGGGAUUCUAGUUUUUAAAUAAAUUAAUUUAAUUAAGCUUUAAAUAUUUUUAUAAUUUUUUUUUAUAUUUAUAUAUUUAAAUGUAAAUUAUAAAGAGUUUAUUUUUUAUAAUUUUUAUAUUAUUAUAAUUUAUAAUUUUUUCUAGAUUUAAAAUUUAUAAAUUGAUAAAUAAUUUUUAAAAAAAAAUAAUUAUUAAAAUUUUAUUUUUUUUUUGAUUAAGUGAAUAUUUAAAUAUAAAUUUUAAUUAAUUAAAUUAAUUUAAUAAUAUUAAAAUUAGUAAAUAAAAUGGAAUUUAAAAAUAGUAAUUCAGCAAAUAUAUUUUUCGCCUGUUUAUCAAAAACAUGUCUUUAAGAUUUUUAUUUAAAGUCCAAUCUGCUCACUGAAUAUUUUAAAGAGCCGCAGUAUUUUAACUGUGCAAAGGUAGCAUAAUAAAUAGUUUUUUAAUUGAAAGCUGGAAUGAAAGAUUAGACGAGAAAAUAACUUUCUUUUUCUAAUUUAAUUGAACUUAAAGUUUAAGUUAAAAUUCUUAAAUGAAUUUAAAAGACGAGAAGACCCUAUAGAUUUUUAUUUAAUUUAUUUUUUUUAUAUAAUUUAAUAAUUUUAAUUAAAUUUAAUUGGGGCGAUUUUGUAAAAUAAGUAACUUAAUAAUUUUAAACCAUAAAUAAUUGAAUUUUUUGAUCUAAAAUUUUUAAUUUAUAGAUUAAAUUACCUUAGGGAUAACAGCGUAAUUUUAUUUAAGAGUUCAUAUCUAUAAUAAAGAUUGCGACCUCGAUGUUGAAUUAAGAAAAAUAUAUGAGUAGAAAUUUAUAAUUUUUAGUCUGUUCGACUAUUAAAUUCUUACAUGAUUUGAGUUCAGACCGGCGUGAGCCAGGUCAGUUUCUAUCUUUAAUUUUUUUUUAUAGAUAAGUACGAAAGGACAAUUUAUGAAUAAAAUUUAUUAAUUAUUU